rnacentral:rRNA from 1 species
AUUGAACGCUAGCGGCAGGCCUAACACAUGCAAGUCGAGCGGAUGAAGGGAGCUUGCUCCUGGAUUCAGCGGCGGACGGGUGAGUAAUGCCUAGGAAUCUGCCUGGUAGUGGGGGAUAAUGUCCGGAAACGGGCGCUAAUACCGCAUACGUCCUGAGGGAGAAAGUGGGGGAUCUUCGGACCUCACGCUAUCAGAUGAGCCUAGGUCGGAUUAGCUAGUUGGUGGGGUAAAGGCCUACCAAGGCGACGAUCCGUAACUGGUCUGAGAGGAUGAUCAGUCACACUGGAACUGAGACACGGUCCAGACUCCUACGGGAGGCAGCAGUGGGGAAUAUUGGACAAUGGGCGAAAGCCUGAUCCAGCCAUGCCGCGUGUGUGAAGAAGGUCUUCGGAUUGUAAAGCACUUUAAGUUGGGAGGAAGGGCAGUAAGUUAAUACCUUGCUGUUUUGACGUUACCAACAGAAUAAGCACCGGCUAACUUCGUG